UAUCCCUACGGGACGCAGCAGUGGGGAAUAUUGCACAAUGGGGGGAACCCUGAUGCAGCGACGCCGCGUGGGUGAAGGAGUAUUUCGGUAUGUAAAGCCCUAUCAGCAGGGAAGAACAAUGACGGUACCUGACUAAGAAGCACCGGCUAAAUACGUGCCAGCAGCCGCGGUAAUACGUAUGGUGCAAGCGUUAUCCGGAUUUACUGGGUGUAAAGGUAGCGCAGGCGGCGCGUUAAGCCUGGUGUGAAAGCCCGCGGCCCAACCGCGGUACUGCAUUGGGCACUGGCGCGCUGGAGUGC
rnacentral:rRNA from 1 species